GACGAACGCUGGCGGCGUGCUUAACACAUGCAAGUCGAGCGAGGCCCUCCUUCGGGAGGUGUCCUAGCGGCGAACGGGUGAGUAACACGUGGGCAACCUGCCCCCGGCUCUGGGAUAACUCCAAGAAAUUGGGGCUAAUACCGGAUAUGACCGCUGACCGCAUGGUCUGGUGGUGGAAAGGUUUAUCGGCUGGGGAUGGGCCCGCGGCCUAUCAGCUUGUUGGUGGGGUAGUGGCCUACCAAGGCGACGACGGGUAGCCGGCCGGAGAGGGUGACCGGCCACACUGGGACUGAGACACGGCCCAGACUCCUACGGGAGGCAGCAGUGGGGAAUAUUGCGCAAUGGGCGGAAGCCUGACGCAGCGACGCCGCGUGGGGGAUGACGGCCUUCGGGUUGUAAACCUCUUUCAGCAGGGACGAAGCCGCGAGGUGACGGUACCUGCAGAAGAAGCACCGGCCAACUACGUGCCAGCCGCCGCGGUAAAAC
rnacentral:rRNA from 1 species